rnacentral:lncRNA from 1 species
GACGCACAGGACUUCUGCUUUGAGAAAGGAAAUAACAACGAGUUUUGCGGUUAGCACAAACUUUGAAAGUGGCUCAACAUGCUUUUAUCCCAAACUCUGGGCUAAGAGAAUUACUAGGACUGAACUGGAGGAGAAACCCUGCAGUCAUUUCUGCUUUGUGUUCCUUCGAGGGCUUGGAAACAGAAAGAGGUGUUUCAGAGACCUCAGCGGAGAAGAACCUUUCCUGGCUGCCUUUCAGCGCCGGCUUCCUCCUCUACAAAUAGCGCAUUACUGUGGUAAAAGGCAGCACUUUUACAUCAGCAGUGCUGCCGUCAUCGCCCUGAAUGCCAGCCUUGGGAAUUCUGACCUUUGUGUAGCAAAGCAUGUUCUACCCUUUGGCAGUUAAUAGGCGAAGGCAGACACAACGCUUCUAACUCGCAGAAAGAUUGAGCUCUCCCUUGGAUCAGGAAUUCAAGGGACAUUUACAUCACUUAUGCUAGUGUAAGUUCUUGAUAACGGUGUUUGAAAUUGCCCGUGCCCUUUCAUCAGGAGCCUGCAAGAACAUUGCCUUUUCUGGGAGGAGCAUUAAACAUGGAAGUUUUAACUCUCCUAAGAGAGCAGAUGUCUGGUCGACCUGAUGGAUUCACCGCAAAGAGAGUCCAGGAGAAAGAAUGCCCAAGGAGGAUUGGCAGUGAGUGAGGAGGGGUAAAUGUCCUGUUAUUUGUGAGGAGAGGACGGUAAUGUAGCAAAACAGUGAUUAGUUACAUAAUUUUAACUUCUCAAUUUCUAAAUAUGGCCACACGUGAUCAAGGGCUGCAGAUAUUGGGUAUAGAGUGAAGGAUACCUUUGUAUACUGAUUCUAAUAAAGCUGGAUCUGUGAAAUGACCAUUUUUGUUAUCUUUCUUCGUAUUCUCAUUCUUGGCCUUCCCCCUCUGACAUUUAUACCAAUGACUCCACAAUCCUUUGUGGAAGAAACAGUUGCUACAUCAUGAUUUAUAUCUUCUUUGUCAUUGUAUGAAACAUUCCAUCGGAGACCCUGGAAAUUCUUUCUGACAAGUCUGAUAAAAC